GAAGGUACAGCUCAGAGGUACAGUGCUUGUCUGGCAUGUACAAGGUCCUGGGUUCAAUCCCCAGUACCUCUA
rnacentral:tRNA from 1 species